rnacentral:lncRNA from 1 species
GUAAAAUACAAAGUGACAUGAGUACUAGGAAGACAUUUCUAUUUCAGAAUAUAAUUAAGCUAGUGCUUGACUGAGAUGCUGGUUGUCUUCCCCUGGAGAAGUGAGACUUCAGCUGGCAUCUGAAGGACUAGCAGGGGCUAACCAGGCAAAUGGGGUAGAAUUCCAGGCAGAAGGAAGGACUUGUGCAGUGACCCUUCAGCAGGAGGGAAAAAAGCGCUGGCAAGGCCAGGUUGGCAGCUGCUCAGAGAAGAAGUGGAGAGUGGUGCAUGAUGAGGCUGGAGAGCUAGGCCAGGCAACACCAUGCCAGGCCUCGUAGACCAUGAUAAAGAACUUGGCGUCCUCCCAGGAAAAAAAGGAAGCUGUUCAAAGUUGCCUUUUUUUUUUCAAAGCAUGUUCACCAUGAUCCUCUCCUCUCAUCUUGAGAACCAUCCUGAGAGACAGUAUCAUCCCCAUCUCACCGAAGAGGAAAGCGAAGCCAUGAUGUUCCUGGGUCACAGGUCCAGUGAGGAAUUCAAACAGUAGUACCUGACACAGGCUGCUGACCUUGGAAGGAGGAAAUUGAUGCCCGGGGAGGUUAGAACUUGUUCAAGGUCACCCAGCAAAUAACCAACGGGGCUGAGACCAGGACCCAGGUCUGAAACUAAAGUCUGUGCUUUAACUGCUAUUAUACCAUCUCUCAAUCUCUUGCUGAAGAGCACAACAGGAGUGACUUCCAAAUAAAAACACUCAGAUUUUAAUGGCCAUCUCCUGCCCUCAUUAAAAUUAUGGCAGAGUCGGUUUGCUCUAAAGCCAUGUCUCAACCCAGACUUGACAGGAGAAAAAUCUACAUAGGAAGGGCAGGUGGGAGGGGAUUUCCAGACAUCACAG